rnacentral:snoRNA from 1 species
AGGCAGUGACGAUGAAAGUUACAUACCAUCAAACUUUGAGAGCCCCCAAAAACAUCGAGCUUGUUGAUGCCAUCUAACAAUUUCUGAGACC